GAGGAAUAUUGGUCAAUGGGUGCAAGCCUGAACCAGCCAUCCCGCGUGAAGGACGACUGCCCUAUGGGUUGUAAACUUCUUUUGUAUAGGGAUAAACCUACCCUCGUGAGGGUAGCUGAAGGUACCAGAUGAAUAAGCACCGGCUAACUCCGUGCCAGCAGCCGCGGUAAUACGGAGGGUGCAAGCGUUAUCCGGAUUCACUGGGUUUAAAGGGUGCGUAGGCGGGCAGGUAAGUCAGUGGUGAAAUCCUGGAGCUUAACUCCAGAACUGCCAUUGAUACUAUCUGUCUUGAAUAUUGUGGAGGUAAGCGGAAUAUGUCAUGUAGCGGUGAAAUGCUUAGAUAUGACAUAGAACACCUAUUGCGAAGGCAGCUUACUACGCAUAUAUUGACGCUGAGGCACGAAAGCGUGGGGAUCAAACA
rnacentral:rRNA from 1 species